rnacentral:rRNA from 1 species
ACUCAAAUGAAUUGACGGGGACCCGCACAAGCAGCGGAGCGUGUGGUUUAAUUCGAUGCAACGCGAAGAACCUUACCUGGGCUUGACAUUCUUUCGCAACAGUUGGAAACAACUGCCUCCCGCAAGGGACGGAAGAACAGAUGCUGCAUGGCUGUCGUCAGCUCGUGUCGUGAGAUGUUGGGUUAAGUCCCGCAACGAGCGCAACCCUCGUUUCUAGUUAUAUAUCUAGAGAGACUGCCGGAAACAAACCGGAGGAAGGUGGGGAUGACGUCAAGUCAGCAUGGCUCUUACGUCCAGGGCUACACACACGCUACAAUGGUCUCUACAGCGAGAAGCGACCCUGCGAAGGGAAGCAGACCUCUAAAAGGGGGCCUCAGUUCAGAUUGCACUCUGCAACCCGAGUGCAUGAAGUCGGAGUUGCUAGUAACCGCGUGUCAGCAUAGCGCGGUGAAUAUGUUCCCGGGUCUUGUACACACCGCCCGU